CAUUUACAAAGCAUUACACUAGAUAAUAGCCCUGUUCCGCGGUAGCGUCUAGCGACUGAUUUUACAAAGCAAAAAAGAAAAACUUAAAUGGAAAGAAAGAAGAAAAAUGGAAGAAAUCCUUGUUUUCAUGUCGCAGCCAAGAGUGAGAAAGGAGGAACAGUGACGCUAUUUAAUUUGGCGACACAAAUACCACCGGAUUCCGUCAGAAUAAUUGACGCUGCGUUCUCUGUUUUAACACUGGCGGCAAGUUAAGCAAAAAAUGAUGAACAAUUUCCAGCCGCUCAUGUCAAUCGCUGCGAUCAACUAACGAACAGGGCUAACAUGUAGAUUCAUUCAUAAGGUUUGGUAACUUAUAGGCGAAAUCUGUGUGCACAGGUUGGAAGGAGAACAUGUUGUGUUGGGAAGGUGAUACAAGGAAUGGAAAAAUGUAUUUGCAUGCCAUUGAAAGUGGAGCUGGUACUUACAGUGGCAAACCGAGGAAGAAAGUUGUGGUUGCUGAUUCCGGAGAGAUCCCUAAACACAAAUGGGAUGAAGAAAGAUGACAAAAACACUACAUAGAACUUACACAUCUCAGCAAACCAUAGUUUUGUUCCUAUGUAAUCCACUCUCUUUUUAUUUAUAGUUUUGCAGAUGCGAUUAUCUGAAUUCUGAACACUAUGCCAAUGUAGUUAGUUUUUGAAGCUGGAAGCA
rnacentral:lncRNA from 1 species